UUUCCUUCGAUGGAACAACAGUUUUUCUGUGACAGCAGUUUUACAUUUGCCAGAUUGCCUUAGCUUGACCGAAAUAAUGUCUUCACCACUUGACCCUUAUAACCUCUUCUACUUCACCAAAAGCUAGAAUAGAGAUAUCACAGUACCACCAACGAAGCCCAUUGUUCUCAACGAUAUGUCUAUCCUUCUGGAUAGUUAUAAAAGCAAGA